AUGCAUCUGCACCGGCGCCAUCCGUCCCUGUCGCCCGAGCGCUCAAGGAGAGCAGCUCCUCGAGCACCUGCGCCCGCAUCCGUCGUCCUCCGCCGCCCGGCGACCCUCUGCAUCCACCUCCAACAACUCUUCCUGCGACCUCCUCUUCAUCACAGCCUACAUGCUCGAAGAUGCCCGAGGCUCGUGCCCUCCUCCUUCAGCAGGUUCUCAUGGCCCCCCUGCCAUGGCCGGGUAGCCCAGCGAGGCCCCUCUCCAGCGCUUGGCCUCCACCCUGAGUUCCUGCUCACUCCGUCCAUGGUGCCGCUGCCUCGCCCGAGCUCUCUGCUCGACCAUGAGCUCGUCAACUCCGGCGCGUGCCCUAGCCUCCUCUGCUUCGCCUUCUCGACAGAGAUCGCGUCCCUGCUAUCUUCCUCACCUCCUGCCCGAGACCCACCUUCGGCCUCGCCAUGGUUCGCCUGCACCAGCUCUGUCCGACAAGGACGUUGCCCCGCUGCCUUCUCUUGUCGCGACCAGGAUCCCCCUCCUCGCGCCUCUGGUCACCUCGCCACCCCAUCACCUGUUCUGUGCCCACGUCAGCGCAACACCGUCUCUGCCGCGUCCACGCACCUCCAGUGA
rnacentral:rRNA from 1 species